rnacentral:lncRNA from 1 species
UUUGAAAAAAAAAAAAGAAAGAAAAAGAAAAUCGUUAGGUUAGUUGGGUCUUAUUUUGUAUGUCUACUUGUUUACUUAGCUCUUUGUGGAAAGGGGGUAGACCCCAGAGCCUUUUAUGUUUGAGGAAGGCACUGUACUGUUGAGCUAUUCUUAUUCUCUGUCAUGGAACCCUAUUCGGUAAUCAAUUAGGAGAUUAUACUGACUAGCAUAUAAAGGGUGGAGUUAGUCUUUUUGGAAUGUUCCCACUGCUUUAUAGCUACUGUGGACUACUCUCUCCUGAAGAUUAAAUAUGUCUUUCUGUAGUCAUGCCAAUCAAAAUUUUGGACACUUUUUUUUGUUUUUUUGUUUUUGUUUUUGUUUUUGGCUUUUUCAAGACAGGGUUUCUCUGUAUUGCCCUGGCUGUCCUGGAACUCACUCUGUAGACCAGACUGACCUCGAACUCAGAAAUCCGCUUGCCUCUGCCUCCCAAGUGCUGGGAUUAAAGGCGUGUGCCACCACCACCAGGCUAAUUUUGGACAUUUUAUUGCCCUUAUUCCUUGUAUAAAAUGUAUCAUUUGUAUAAAAUGUAUUAUCAGGCUUUCUUAAGUAUCUCUUUAAUUUGUGAGCUUCAGGCUGUCACCCUGACUAUGAUCACAAUCACUCUUGUCUAGAUUAGUGUUUUAUCCCAAUAAGAGUUUACUUUAAAAUUUUUUUAAUAUUUGUGUAUAUGCCACAGAUAUUACAAGUGCCAUGGCAGGAAUGUAGAGGUCAGAGAGGACAGCUUUCAGGAACUGGUUUUCUCCUUCCACCAGGUGUGAUCCAAAGAUUGUACUGAGGUGGUCAAGCUUAGCGGCAAGCAUGUUUACCUGCUGAGUGGAGGCUCUGGCCUCCUGUCUGAUCCUAUAGCAUAGUUGAGAAGCUAAACUCAGAUUGCAAAUCUGGUUUCAUCUUCCCUUCAGCCUGUCCACCUUCCAAAUCAGCGCUGCUAGGAAUAUUUUUUUGUUGGAGAUAUCCUGACUGUGGAGACUGGACUUGCCCCAAGGAACCCAAAGCCCUUAAUCAGCAGGAAGUAGUCUAAAGAGGUCUAUGCCCCCCUUUCCCUCAAACUUCCUCUCUCCUAUCAAGUGUUGGGGGAUUGGAAUGGAUUAGGGUGGAAUAAAUGUUGGAAGGGUGGUAGCUGUAAGAACUCAAUAAAAAGCUAAAGAGAAAGUAUGCCUACAGAAAGUCAUGGUGGCUCACAUUGUAAUCUCAACCUAGGAAGUUGAAGUUGGAGGAUUGCCAUGAGUUUCAGGCCAAUCUGGACUAAAGAGUGAGAUCCUGUUUCACAGAGAGGGGACAGGGGUUGGGGAGAUAGCUUUUUUUAGUAAAUUGCUUACCUUGUAAACGUGAAGACUUGAUUUGAUUCCCAGAAUUCACAAAGAAGUUCUGGGUGUUGGUGGUGAACACUUGUAACCAAGGAGCUGGGGAGGUGGAGACAGGAGGAUCCUGGGCUCCCUGGCCAGACAUCCUGGCCUAAUUGCUGAGUACGGGACCCACAAGACACAGAUACACACACACUGAAAAAUGAAUAAACCAUAAAUAGUGACUCAACUAGAACUGGAUAAUGAUACUUAAAUUAAGUAACUAUAGCCUUGUAAAGUCUUACAUGGUUAUAUGGUUAUUCCAGUAGCAAUUGAUGGUGUAGGACAAUAUAGUAAUUCUCCUUUUUUUGUUUGUUUGUUUUUUUGUUUUUUGAGACAGGGUUUCUCUAUAUAGCCCUGGCUGUCCUGGAACUCAGUUUAUAGACCAGGCAGGCCUCGAACUCAGAAAUCUGCCUGCCUCUGCCUCCCAAGUGCUGGGAUUAAAGACGUGCGCCACCAUGCUCAGCAUGGUAAUUCUCUUAAGUACUUAUAAUUCUAUUCAUUGCCAACUAACAAUGGUUUCAAUAAUUUAUAUUCUUCUACAUAAAAAGAAAUUAAUCUCCAGUAUGCUGAUAACAAGCAUUAUAUUAUAUUAUAUUAGUGCUAAGGAUUGAACUUAAGAUCCAAUGAAUGCUAAACAUAUGAUCUAAUAAUGAUCUACACUACUCAGUACUAGUUUUUUUAAAAAAAUUUUUAAUGAAUU